rnacentral:rRNA from 1 species
CCUACGGGAGGCAGCAGUGGGGAAUUUUGGACAAUGGGCGCAAGCCUGAUCCAGCUAUUCCGCGUGUGGGAUGAUGGCCUUCGGGUUGUAACCACCUUAGUAGAGAACGAAAAGGAGCUAUCGAAUAAAUAGAUCUGCUGACGGUACUCUAAGAAUAAGCACCGGCAAAUUACGUGCCAGCAGCCGCGGCAAUACGUAGGGGGUGAGAGUUAAUCGGAAUUACUGGGCGUAAAGGGUGUGCAGGCGGCUGAGUAAGACAGGGGUGAACUCCCCGGGCAUAAGCUGGGAACCGCUUUUGUGACUGCUUGGCUGGAGUGCGGCAGAGGGAGGAGGAAUUCCACGUGUAGCGGUGAAAUGCGUAGAUAUGUGGAAGAACACCGAGGGCGAAGGCAGCCUCCUGGGACGCAACUGACGCUGAUGCACGAAAGCGUGGGGAGCAAACAGGAUUAGAUACCCCAGUAGUC